AGAACAUCAGAGUUGAAGUCAGAACUGGGUUCAAAUCCGAAGGCUUCCCUUCGCUUGAGUGUGACCCUGGGUGAGUGGGAUCAGCUCUCUGACACUCCUCCCUUCACAAGCAUGUGUGACUACAAGCUAUUGUGACUACUUCACACAAGUGUGAGGAUGACAGGAAGCAGUAUGCCUACAGCUCACAGUGAAGGUCACUUCUGCACACAUCUGUAAUUUGCACCAGAAAUCAGCUGCUGCACGGUCACCUAUCUCAGCUUUCAAAAGAGUUUGAGCAUUACUGCCCACCCCCAAAACCAAACCAAAUACCUGGGAAGUACUUCAAACUGGGGAGAAGUGGAUUCAUGACCCAUUUGUGGAUAAGCCAGGGAUCGAACUCAGGUCUUUGCGCUUGCGCAGCAGGUAGCGAAAACACUGAUCUAAAUCCCCGGCUCCUAAGUAAUUUUCUUAUUAGAAUACAUCUCACUGCCAGGGAUAGUGCUGCAUACCUAUGA
rnacentral:lncRNA from 1 species